AGGUGGGGGAUCCAUAUUUCUUACUUAUGAGGGAUCCUUUCUAACAAGUGACAUCAAAGUACGUGGUUGUUCAAAUUGUGGUGGUGUUGAUCGAAGUUGGAGAAGAUAGAGAAGACAAGCUCAACCAAGGUGGAGAUCAACCGAUAUGAUGGGAAGAGUAAUUUCUUCCUAUGGCAAAUGAAGGUGAAGGAUGUGCUCAUCCAACAAGGUCGAUUAAUGC
rnacentral:lncRNA from 1 species